UCCAGGGAUGGGAAUCGAACCCACAAUGUUCCGCUUACCGGGCAGAUGCCAUGCCCACUAGGCUAAAACGCCAUCCCUGG
rnacentral:tRNA from 1 species